AGUCAUCAUGGCCUUUAUGUCCAGGGCUACACACGUGCUACAAUGGGCGGUACAACGGGUCGCGAGGCCGCGAGGCGGAGCCAAUCCCGCAAAGCCGCCCCCAGUUCGGAUUGCAGGCUGCAACUCGCCUGCAUGAAGCCGGAAUCGCUAGUAAUGGCGCAUCAGAACGGCGCCGUGAAUACGUUCCCGGGCCUUGUACACACCGCCCGUCACAUCACGAAAGUGGGCUGUACUAGAAGUCCGCCAGCCAACCCCCCGGGGGGGCGGCGGCCGACGGUAUGGCGCAUGAUUGGGGUGAAGUCGUAACAAGGUAGCCGUAGGAGAACCUGCGGCUGGAUCACCUCCUUUCAA
rnacentral:rRNA from 1 species